GUGAGGAAUAUUGGUCAAUGGACGGAAGUCUGAACCAGCCAUGCCGCGUGCAGGAAUAAGGUCCUAUGGAUUGUAAACUGCUUUUAUUCGGGAAUAAACCUCUUUACGUGUAGGGAGCUGAAGGUACCGAAAGAAUAAGCACCGGCUAACUCCGUGCCAGCAGCCGCGGUAAUACGGAGGGUGCAAGCGUUAUCCGGAAUCAUUGGGUUUAAAGGGUCCGCAGGCGGGAUUGUAAGUCAGUGGUGAAAUCCGGCAGCUCAACUGUAGCACUGCCAUUGAUACUGCAGUCCUUGAAUUCGAUUGGAGUGGGCGGAAUAUGUCAUGUAGCGGUGAAAUGCUUAGAUAUGACAUAGAACACCGAUAGCGAAGGCAGCUCACUAAGUCUGAAUUGACGCUCAUGGACGAAAGCGCGGGUAGCAAACAGGAUUAGAUACCCGUGUAGUCC
rnacentral:rRNA from 1 species